UACGUAGGGUGCAAGCGUUAAUCGGAAUUACUGGGCGUAAAGCGUGCGCAGGCGGUUAUGUAAGACAGAGGUGAAAUCCCCGGGCUCAACCUGGGAACUGCCUUUGUGACUGCAUAGCUAGAGUACGGCAGAGGGGGAUGGAAUUCCGCGUGUAGCAGUGAAAUGCGUAGAUAUUAGGAGGAACACCGGUGGCGAAGGCGGCUGCCUGGACCGAUA
rnacentral:rRNA from 1 species